rfam:Camelus ferus isolate Naran unplaced genomic scaffold scaffold81710, whole genome shotgun sequence.
GAGGGUAUAGCUCAGUGACAGAGCGUGUGCUUAGCAUGCACGACGUCCUGGGUUCAAUCCCCAGUACCGCCA